GCCACCACUAAAACAGACAACCCAAUACAUUGACUCCAACAGUAUUUGAGGAAGGAGGUAUUACCCUUUUUCUCAUGCUGACUUUUUGAAUCUGCCCAUAAACAAGUGUGUUGGGAGAUGGCGUUGCUGCAGCCGGAGCCCAGCCAGCUGACAUUCAGACUGGCUUUCUUGCCUCUCUUCCUGGCCGCUCUCCCAGCCAGUGGUUUGUUGGCGGCCCAGGAGAAGGAGGAGGCACUCCAUUCGCCUGGUUAAACAUCCCCGUGUGCUCGUUCCCCGGUGAUGAAACAUUUGUUUCUUUAUGAGGGGGUUAACGGACAUAGGAGGCGCCGGGAGGAUGGAAGAAGAAGAGGAAGUGCUGAUCUGUUCGAGAGCUGUUUCACAAAGAAGUAGACAGUCUGGAUUCUGUUCUGCCUCUGCGCCAGAUAUCAAAAUAGAGAGGCUUACAAGAAAGCAUUUGAUGGACAGCAACGUGCAGGACAGGCCAAGACCUGCGUCUUCAGUUUACAUACAUGUCAUGGAUUUUGGCAUAAAAUCAGAACAUUUUUCAUGUGAAGCACCUCUUGAAUUUUCGCUGGUCAACAACGCACAUUUCAAUGGUUUCACCAGCCUCUGCCUGCUCUCCUCAGACAAUGGUUAUUUGUCCUGAAAUGUCUGAUUUCAUGAAUAUCCAGUAGCAACAGAGAGCUGGUUUCCAACUUGCUCUCCCAUGUCAUGAGUGAAACCACUUUGGUGAUGCAGGAAAGCAGAGUACAAUGUAAUAAAGUGAACGUUGACAUUUAA